UACGGGGGGGGGCAAGCGUUGUUCGGAAUUACUGGGCGUAAAGGGCUCGUAGGUGGCCAACUAAGUCAGACGUGAAAUCCCUCGGCUUAACCGGGGAACUGCGCCUGAUACUGGAUGGCUGGAGUAUGGGAGAGGAAUGCGGAAUUCCAGGUGUAGCGGUGAAAUGCGUAGAUAUCUGGAGGAACACCGGUGGCGAAGGCGGCAUUCUGGUCUGUAACUGACGCUGAGGCGCGAAAAGCGUGGGGGAGCAAACAGG
rnacentral:rRNA from 1 species